rnacentral:lncRNA from 1 species
ACUCAUCCUCCGCUGCAGGUCGAACUGUAGACACAGAGAGCAACAGACAAAUCCCAGGCCCUCGUCGGGGAAGAAAGGGAUCAUGAAAUAAACAGAAAAAUAAAUGCGAAAUGCGGCCAGCGAUGAAAGCUCAGAAGGCGAGCUUACCCCGGACCCAAACGCGCAAUACUAACCGGGAGUGUAAGGAGGCCACGCCCUCCUCGCGUAUUUGUGCCCAAAUGAGCUGCCUCCCCAGCGUGCACCAAAUUCCUGAGCCACCUGCUCCGAGCUCGAUUUCCCUUUCAAGCUGUGUGUUCUGCGGGGGCAGGGAGAGCUGCAAGGGCUCAUCUUUCAGGACGUGCUGCAAAGGCCCUUUGAAGUCAUCCGCCCUGCUCUUGGCACCUUGCGCCUGGAGCUGAGCUCUUCCAAAAAUGACCCCUGCGCAUUCCGUGGUGCGGCCGCCCAGCCCAGGCAGUCGCGGUCCAGAGCAGGGGAAGCUGCAGCGCGGCCGACAGCUGGGAGAGCCGAGGCCCUGAGGGAGGACCCUGCCUCAAGCCAAGCAACCAGGCCCUGCGGCCCUCUCCCCACCCCUGUGCGGCCCUGGCGCAGGGAACCGGGACGGGGCUUUCAGGCCUUGAAGGGCAGACUUACUCCACCAAACAUUCCCAUCGUCGGCUGAUGGAGGGCCUCGAGCUGGGCGCUGUGGGUACGUUAUCCUAUUUACUUCUCUCGGUAGCCCUGCACCAUCGCCUCUGGUUCCCAGGUAAGCACAGAGAAGCAGAUGACUUGCCCAAGAUCACACAGUACUGCAGGAAUAGAAUUGGCGUCUGGACCUCUCCCCUAAUACCCCACGGCCUCCAGAAUCUCACCUCAGCCCCUGUCCAUCCCGAAAUAAACACUCUACACCAUUUAGUGAAUGUUCUUUCAGAGGUCAGACCCUAUACAUUCAUUUCCUGGCUCCCCCAUUUCCUGACUGCGUGACCUUAAGCAAGUUUCUUAACCUCUCUGUGUCAGCGUCCUCCUCUGUAGAAUGGUGCCAAAAACUGUACCUAUCCCAGAAGGUUACUGUGAGGACCAAAUGAGACAAGACAAUAAAUGUAAAAGUGGUUAAAACUGUGCCCAGAUGAUAGUGAGCCCUCAAAAACUAGUCACUCUUCUAAUUCCAUAGACUUGAUUAAUUUCUGGUUUUUCAUAAGUGGAUUUACAUGUAUACAUUUAAGGCACCUUUCCAAGUAAGACAUACAGGUCUACCUCAUUCUUUCAAGCAGCUUCAUAACAUUCUUGUAUUCAUUCAUUCAUUCAUUCAUUCAUUCACCAAACAUGUGUAGAGCGGGCAGCUCCUGUACACCAGGCAAGGGCAUACAACACACUCAGUCCUUGCUCUGAGUUCUCAUGGGAGGGAUAAUUGACAAAUGCAUGAAUAAAUAGUUGAGAGCAUUUCACCUUAUACUGAGUGCUAUGAAGAAAAUAAGAUGGGGCCAGGCUCUGUGGCUCAUGCCUGAAAUCCUAGGACUUUGGGAGGCCGAGGCGGGCAGAUCAUUUGAGGCCAGGCAUUCAAGACCAGCCUAGGGUUUUAGUAGAGAAAAUCCAUCUGUACUAAAAAUACAAAAAAACAAAACAAAACAAAAAUGC